rnacentral:rRNA from 1 species
CCUACGGGCGGCAGCAGUGAGGAAUAUUGGUCAAUGGACGAGAGUCUGAACCAGCCAAGUAACGUGAAGGAUGACUGCCCUAUGGGUUGUAAACUUCUUUUAUAUGGGAAUAAAAUGUUCCACGUGUGGGAUUUUGUAUGUACCAUAUGAAUAAGGAUCGGCUAACUCCGUGCCAGCAGCCGCGGUAAUACGGAGGAUCCGAGCGUUAUCCGGAUUUAUUGGGUUUAAAGGGAGCGUAGGUGGAUUGUUAAGUCAGUUGUGAAAGUUUGCGGCUCAACCGUAAAAUUGCAGUUGAAACUGGCAGUCUUGAGUAGAGUAGAGGUGGGCGGAAUGCGUGGUGUAGCGGUGAAAUGCUUAGAUAUCGCGAAGAACUCCGAUUGCGAAGGCAGUUCACUGGACUGAAACUGACACUGAGGCUCGAAAGUGUGGGUAUCAAACAGGAUUAGAUACCCCAGUAGUC